rnacentral:ncRNA from 1 species
CAAAGAUUUGGUCCUGAUCUUAUUAUCAGCUUUAACCUAGUUUACACAUGCAAGUAUCCGCAACCCCGUGAGGAUGCCCUCACUCCCCCGUCCGGGGACGAGGAGCCGGUAUCAGGCACGACACUCAGCCCAAGACACCUUGCUUUGCCACACCCCCAAGGGUAUUCAGCAGUGAUAGACAUUAAGCCAUGAGUGAAAACUUGACUUAGCCAAGGUUAAGAGGGCCGGUAAAACUCGUGCCAGCCACCGCGGUUAUACGAGAGACCCAAGUUGACAACAUCGGCGUAAAGAGUGGUUAUGGGAAACACAUGCUAGAGCUAAAGACCUCUUCAGCCGUUAUACGCUAAUAGAAGUUCGAACACCAUCAACGAAAGUGGCUUUAAACUUUUUCUACCAGAACCCACGACAGCUGGGGCACAAACUGGGAUUAGAUACCCCACUAUGCCUAGCCGUAAACUUAGAUACCUAAAUACAAAAGUAUCCGCCAGGGGACUACAAGCACAGCUUAAAACCCAAAGGACUUGGCGGUGCUUCAGACCCACCUAGAGGAGCCUGUUCUAGAACCGAUAAUCCCCGUUCAACCUCACUACUUCUUGUUUUUCCCGCCUAUAUACCACCGUCGCCAGCUUACCCUAUGAAGGCACCACAGUAAGCAAAAUGAACACUGUCCAAAACGUCAGGUCGAGGUGUAGCGUACGAAGUAGGAAGAAAUGGGCUACAUUUCCUAGUAUAGGAAACCACGAAAGGUAAUUCUGAAAUUGGAAACCAGAAGGUGGAUUUAGCAGUAAAGGAGGAGCAGAGUGCCUCCUUGAAGCCGGCUCUGAAGCGCGCACACACCGCCCGUCACUCUCCCCAACAACCUCUUUUAAAAGUAAAUAACACCUUUUAUGGCAACAAGGGGAGGUAAGUCGUAACAUGGUAAGUGUACCGGAAGGUGCACUUGGAAUAAU